UUAUAGCUCAGUGGUAGAGCACUCCCUUGGUAAGGGAGAGGUCUCGAGUUCAAAUCUCG
rnacentral:ncRNA from 14 species